CUCAAAUCCAAUUGUGAUUUCUAUAGAAACUCUUUUUCAUCAAUCACACUGCUGUGGUCAUAGACUCUCAAACUUAACCUCUGAAAUUUCAUAGGACUACUCUUUUCUAUCAAGAUUGAUAGAUCUCAUCUUGAUGCACAUCCUACUCCUAUAGUGGACCAACUAUCGUCAACACCUACUAUAAGACUCAUUGAGAUCUAUAUUUAUAUGUCAAUUAAACUCCAAUAGCCUCACUACGAGCAAUCAUACCAUCUCAGAUCAAAAGAUCAUUCACACAACUACAGCAUCGAGACAAUCACUGAUGAUCGUAUAGAAAUCCAAGAGAUCUCUCGUAUGGUCACGCUCAGUACUAGUUAUUCUCUAACAACUACUCGCAC
rnacentral:lncRNA from 1 species